CUCUACUUCCGACUCUUCCUUCCUGGAUGAGCCCCUGGAAAGCGACUGAGGGCACCACCUCCUCCCUCACCACCCACUACCCACUGUUCACCGGCUCCAUUCAAGCAAAGAUAACCCAGUGGUUUAAAUACCCCAAAUAGGUCCUGAGCAGCUGGGUGCUCCACAGACAAACUCUGAACUUGAUAUUCACCAAAAGGCACAGGGAAAGUCAGAGAAAAAGGGAAUGUGAAGCUGGAGGCAGAGAUUGGAGAGAUGCGUCCCCCAAGCCAAGGAGCACUGGGACUGCUGGCAGUCACUAGAAGCUGGGGGAGCAGGAUGGGUGGUUUCUCCUUGACAGCUAGCUCUCAACCUUGCUGACACUUCGAUUUUGGACUUCUGGCCUCCUGAACUAUCAUAGGAUAAAUAUCUGUUGCUUCAUACCACCUGUUUUGUGGCAAUUCAUCAUGGCAGUCCUAGCAGAUAUAUAAGGCCCAUCACUGGCUCCCUGCACUUAAGAACACUGGAUGACACUUCAGCGCUACGCUUGGGGGCCAUUUUAAACAGCAAAGUGAACAACCAAAGCACAAAAA